GGGGAAUAUUGCACAAUGGGGGAAACCCUGAUGCAGCGACGCCGCGUGGAGGAAGAAGGUCUUCGGAUUGUAAACUCCUGUUGUUGAGGAAGAUAAUGACGGUACUCAACAAGGAAGUGACGGCUAACUACGUGCCAGCAGCCGCGGUAAAACGUAGGUCACAAGCGUUGUCCGGAAUUACUGGGUGUAAAGGGAGCGCAGGCGGGAAGACAAGUUGGAAGUGAAAUCUAUGGGCUCAACCCAUAAACUGCUUUCAAAACUGUUUUUCUUGAGUAGUGCAGAGGUAGGCGGAAUUCCCGGUGUAGCGGUGGAAUGCGUAGAUAUCGGGAGGAACACCAGUGGCGAAGGCGGCCUACUGGGCACCAACUGACGCUGAGGCUCGAAAGUGUGGGUAGCAAACAGGAUUAGAUACCCUGGUAGUCCACACCGUAAACGAUGAUUACUAGGUGUUGGAGGAUUGACCCCUUCAGUGCCGCAGUUAACACAAUAAGUAAUCCACCUGGGGAGUACGACCGCAAGGUUGAAACUCAAAGGAAUUGACGGGGGCCCGCACAAGCAGUGGAGUAUGUGGUUUAAUUCGACGCAACGCGAAGAACCUUACCAAGUCUUGACAUCCCUUGACAGACAUAGAAAUAUGUUUUCUCUUCGGAGCAAGGAGACAGGUGGUGCAUGGUUGUCGUCAGCUCGUGUCGUGAGAUGUUGGGUUAAGUCCCGCAACGAGCGCAACCCUUAUGGUCAGUUACUACGCAAGAGGACUCUGGCCAGACUGCCGUUGACAAAACGGGGGAAGGUGGGGAUGACGUCAAAUCAUCAUGCCCUUUAUGACUUGGGCUACACACGUACUACAAUGGCGUUAAACAAAGAGAAGCAAGACCGCGAGGUGGAGCAAAACUCAGAAACAACGUCCCAGUUCGGACUGCAGGCUGCAACUCGCCUGCACGAAGUCGGAAUUGCUAGUAAUCGUGGAUCAGCAUGCCACGGUGAAUACGUUCCCG
rnacentral:rRNA from 1 species